rnacentral:tRNA from 1 species
GUUGAUGUAGUUUAAUAUUUAAAGUGAGGCACUGUAAAUGCCUAGAUGGAUUGACUAGCUCCAUAAACA